GUGUCAGCAGCCGCGGUAAUACGUAGGGUGCGAGCGUUGUCCGGAAUUAUUGGGCGUAAAGGGCUCGUAGGCGGUUUGUCGCGUCGGGAGUGAAAGCCCAGGGCUUAACCCUGGGUCUGCUUCUGAUACGGGCAGACUAGAGGUAUGUAGGGGAGAACGGAAUUCCUGGUGUAGCGGUGAAAUGCGCAGAUAUCAGGAGGAACACCGGUGGCGAAGGCGGUUCUCUGGGCAUUACCUGACGCUGAGGAGCGAAAGUGUGGGGAGCGAACAGGAUUAGAUACCCUAGUAGUCC
rnacentral:rRNA from 1 species